rnacentral:lncRNA from 1 species
CCCUGAAUAGCCACUAAGGGAUGCUUCAGCCCUGUGCAGUGCUUCCCUCACGUUUCAAAAAGGCCAGUAUUUUGGAAAGAUAACCUUUUUUCAAUAUAGUCUGCAUAUUAUCAGAAAGCAUGGGUGAGUACCUGCAAGGAGUACCAUGUGGACCCCUGCGAGGGGUACCGUGGGGGCCCCUGCGAGGGGUACUGUGUGGACCCCUGUGAGGAGUAUCAUGGGGGCCCCUGCGAGGGGUACCGUGCGGGCCCCCGCGAGGAGUAUCGAGGAGUACCGUGUGGACCCCUGCCUUCUGCAGUGAGAUCUCGGGACGUUUGCGGGAGACUCCGCUGCAGCCACCGCGGUGCCGUCAGAGAGGCCUCCUUGGUAGAGGUGUACAUCGGUGAGCUCCCGCAGGACUUCCUCCGCAUCACGCCCACACAGCAGCA